CAGUCGCCGCGGGAAUACAGAGGGUGCGAGCGUUAAUCGGAUUUACUGGGCGUAAAGCGUGCGUAGGCGGCUUCUUAAGUCGGAUGUGAAAUCCCUGAGCUUAACUUAGGAAUUGCAUUCGAUACUGGGAAGCUAGAGUAUGGGAGAGGACGGUAGAAUUCCAGGUGUAGCGGUGAAAUGCGUAGAGAUCUGGAGGAAUACCGAUGGCGAAGGCAGCCAUCUGGCCUAAUACUGACGCUGAGGUACGAAAGCAUGGGGAGCAAACAGGAUUAGAUACCCCCGUAGUCCCUGUCUCUUAUAC
rnacentral:rRNA from 1 species